rnacentral:rRNA from 1 species
GUAGGUGGCAAGCGUUGUCCGGAAUUAUUGGGCGUAAAGCGCGCGCAGGCGGUUCUUUAAGUCUGAUGCGAAAGCCCACGGCUCAACCGUGGAGGGUCAUUGGAAACUGGAGAACUUGAGUACAGAAGAGGAAAGCGGAAUUCCACGUGUAGCGGUGAAAUGCGUAGAGAUGUGGAGGAACACCAGUGGCGAAGGCGGCUUUCUGGUCUGUAACUGACGCUGAGGCGCGAAAGCGUGGGGAGCAAACAGGGAUUAGAUACCCUGGUAGUCCACGCCGUAAACGAUGAGUGCUAAGUGUUAGGGGGGGUUUCCGCCCCCCUUAGUGCUGCAGCUAACGCAUUAAGCACUCCGCCUGGGGAGUACGGCCGCAAGGCUG